UUUCUAUCUAUCUAUCAUCGAUCUAUCUAUUGAUCUAUUUAUCUAUUGAUCUAUUGAUCUAUCUAUUGAUCUGUCUUUUGAUCUGUCUUUGAUUGUAGUGAAGCUCCUUUGUUCGUCAUUCUUGAUUCAGUUCUUAGGAUUUGAAAUUCUAGAAUUAAUUUUCUCGUCAAACCCCUUGGUGUUGUUGACAUUUGCAGUUGUGUCCGGAAAAUGUCACCGUGAGGAUAAUGAUGAUGAUGAUAGCCAUGAUGGCGUCUUUGUGUUUUUGUGACCAACGACAGUUGGCGUACCUCACACUAACACACCACAUCUUCAAGAUAUCACUGUAGUCCCAGCUGUAUCCUCCUCACGCACUUCUCAUUCUCAGCACGCACGCUUGGAACUUACCAAUAUGCCAAACUCACAGAUUGGUACCGUAUCCAUUUACUCUGGAAUGAGCUUGGAUGCGAGGGGUUAUUGAGAAUGUCUUUGCCCAGUGGGAGCAGCUCUUUAAAUGCCUCCAAAUUCCCUCUCAUCCUAACAACGCUGUUUCUUAAUAAAUCCACCUUCAGCCAAAUCACAGGCUCUGCUUAAGUACACACUCUCUCCUGAGAUAAAGCUCUUGAAUGUUACGGCACCAUUCUGGUACUAUGUAUGCCUAGUGGCUUGGACGUGGAAUGUGCUCCAACCUUGAUAUUGAUAGUAAGAACAUAGUGUCUGGUUGUCUGUGUGGGUGUAUGUGAAUGCGAAUUUACCAUUUGGCAUCAUUAGCAUCUGCUCUCUUUAAGCGGUUAGAUUGAAUGGAUGCAGGGUGCUUCACAUUCAGCACACUUAACUAGUCUCUUUUUAAAAGAAAAAUACACUACUACUGUUAUCUGCCUGCAUCCUCUGCUGCUUGUGUUUCUCCUUCGUAUAUUUCUCUGUGAAAGCUUUGCUGAAUAAAGGUUUGGGGUUGUGUGAACAUGGCAUGCACCAUCUGAUACUUUUCUGUGCUAAAAAGAGGAGGGGAACUGUAAACUGCCAAAUAAAGGAAUCAGUUAUCUACGACAUUCUUGAACUCACUUUUCAUCCCAUCUGUAAUUUUCUUUUGCCAAAUAUUGUUUUGAAAAAUAAUGAUAAAAACCAAUCAUAAUUAUUUAAACAUUAUUAAAGACACAAAGUCCAUUCGUUUUAUUAAAAGCUCAAUAUCAGGUUUUCAACGUAAGGUAGAUUGGAUAUGUUAUGCAAUAUUCUUCCAGCAGAUGGCAGCCACGCAUUCCUUUGAGCUCCCUGCGCUGAACGGGAGCUGUUGAUAAAUAAGAAAAUCUCAUAAUCUCAUAACAAAUGCUGAUGUAAUGUAAUGUAAUAAAUUGUAUAGUUAACAAUCUGGCAUAAAAUAAAUGUAUUAACGGUUAAAAUACACACGCUGUAUCAGUUAUAAGAGGACGAUAUUCAUAUUAUCGAUCCUUUAAUAUCAACAUAAUUUGACAGACUCAGCGCUACAUAACGCAGGAAACAUCCAUCCAUCCAUUUUCAUCCGCUUAUCCGUUACGUCAAAUACCCCUGCCCAAAACAUGGACUUGUUUUGAUAGGGACACAGAAUUGCUUGGUAAUAUAGUCCUCUACUAUAACUAUAGUCCCAUCUUCUUUUUAAUCGUCAGCGUCUCUCUGGAUGUAUAUGUUUACGAGUGGAAAAGAGACUCCCUAGGUGGCAGCACCGAAAAGGAUGUCGGGUGAUGUUGGAAUCAAGAAGAACCAAGAAGAAGCAACUAAGAAGCUAAGCUAAAGGGAGGGCUGGCGCAGGAGACUGAUGAUUAGUGGCCCAGCCUGGUGAGGUCAGGGCAACAUUGUAAAGGAUUUCCUCUGGCUCUUAAUUAUUUCCUGGGUAUUCAUAAGGGCAACAAUACUCUCGGAUUCAGUUCCUUAUCUGGAACACAGUAAAGGAAUUACCUUUCAGUUAAUAAGGACCCAGAACCGCCCGAACUGAUGUAGAUAUGCAGCAGAGACCAGCCACUAUAGAUGAAGGUCGCUGUCGGAGGAGCUGUAGUUGUGACUGCGCUUCAUUCUGCUGCUGAUGAGACCAGACACUGAUGCUCUGACACACAGACGGCAGACUGUGUCACAUCGACCGCUGCUGGGAUUAUUUUCACAGCGCUCGCAAG